rnacentral:rRNA from 1 species
CCAGCCUCAAGAUGAGAUCCCUCACUGGGUAAACCAGGUAAGACCGCUGGCAGACCACCAGCUUGAUAGGCGGCAAGUGUAAGGGCAGUAAUGUCUUCAGCUAAGCCGUACUAAUGGUCGAGGGCUUACCGUU